rnacentral:rRNA from 1 species
GACGAACCGUGCGAACGUUGUUCGGAAUCACUGGGCUUAAAGGGCGCGUAGGCGGGCUUGCAAGUCUGUGGUGAAAUCCUCCAGCCCAACUGGAGUACUGCCGUGGAUACUGCGAGUCUCGAGGGAGGUAGGGGCGUGCGGAACAGAUGGUGGAGCGGUGAAAUGCGUUGAUAUCAUCUGGAACUCCGGUGGCGAAGGCGGCACGCUGGACCUCAUCUGACGCUGAGGCGCGAAAGCUAGGGGAGCAAACGGG